rnacentral:rRNA from 1 species
GCAGCCAAGUCGUGAGGCGGAGCUAAUCCCUUAAAGCCAUUCUCAGUUCGGAUUGUAGGCUGAAACUCGCCUACAUGAAGCUGGAGUUACUAGUAAUCGCAGAUCAGAAUGCUGCGGUGAAUGCGUUCCCGGGUCUUGUACACACCGCCCGUCACACCACGGAAGUUGGGGGCGCCCGAAGCCACUUAGCUAACCCUUUUGGGAAGCGAGUGUCGAAGGUGAAAUCAAUAACUGGGGUGAAGUCGUAACAAGGUAAC